UUUCUUUCUUUCCUUCUUUCUGCUAGUUUCUCGUAUCCCUGCUUUACGUCUCUUGUUUCAAACUGUCUAACAAGUUUAUUUCUUUUCUACUAUUUAAUGACACUAGCAGGUUUACAGGGACACUAACAGGUUUACAGGGACACUAGCAGGUUUACAGGGACACUAGGACACUGGCAGGUUUACAGGGACACUAACAGGUUUACAGGGACACUAGCAGGUUUACAGGACACUAGGAGGUUUACAGGACACUAACAGGUUUACAGGACACUAACAGGUUUACAGGGACACUAGCAGGUUUACAGGGACACUAGCAGGUUUACAGGGACACUAGCAGGUUUACAGGGACACUAGCAGGUUUACAGGGACACUAGCAGGUUUACAGGACACUAGCAGGUUUACAGGACACUAGCAGGUUUACAGGGACACUAGGAC